rnacentral:tRNA from 1 species
UCCCUGCUGGCUCAGACGGUAAAGCAUCUGCCUGCAAUGCAGGAGACCUGGGUUCAACUCCCGGGUCAGGAA